GACGAACGCUGGCGGCGUGCUUAACACAUGCAAGUCGAACGAAGAGCGAUGGAAGCUUGCUUCUAUCAAUCUUAGUGGCGAACGGGUGAGUAACGCGUAAUCAACCUGCCCUUCAGAGGGGGACAACAGUUGGAAACGACUGCUAAUACCGCAUACGAUCUAAUCUCGGCAUCGAGGAUAGAUGAAAGGUGGCCUCUACAUGUAAGCUAUCACUGAAGGAGGGGAUUGCGGUUGAUUAGCUAGUUGGAGGGGUAACGGCCCACCAAGGCGAUGAUCAGUAGCCGGUCUGAGAGGAUGAACGGCCACAUUGGGACUGAGACACGGCCCAGACUCCUACGGGAGGCAGCAGUGGGGAAUCUUCCGCAAUGGACGAAAGUCUGACGGAGCAACGCCGCGUGAGCGAUGACGGCCUUCGGGUUGUAAAGCUCUGUUAAUCGGGACGAAAGGCCUCCUUGCGAAUAGUGAGAAGGAUUGACGGUACCGGAAGAGAAAGCCACGGCUAACUACGUG
rnacentral:rRNA from 1 species